GACGAACGCUGGCGGCGUGCUUAACACAUGCAAGUCGAGCGGUAAGGCCCUCUCGGGGGUACACGAGCGGCGAACGGGUGAGUAACACGUGGGUGACCUGCCCUUAGCUCUGGGAUAAGCCUGGGAAACUGGGUCUAAUACCGGAUAUGACUCCAUGACGCAUGUUGUGGGGUGGAAAGCCUUGUGCGGCUAGGGAUGGGCCCGCGGCCUAUCAGCUUGUUGGUGGGGUGAUGGCCACCAAGGCGACGACGGGUAGCCGGCCUGAGAGGGCGACCGGCCACACUGGGGACUGAGACACGGCCCAGACUCCUACGGGAGGCAGCAGUGGGGAAUCUUGCGCAAUGGGCGAAAGCCUGACGCAGCGACGCCGCGUGAGGGAUGACGGCCUC
rnacentral:rRNA from 1 species